AUUGAACGCUGGCGGCAGGCCUAACACAUGCAAGUCGAACGGUAACAGGAAGAGGCUUGCUUCUUUGCUGACGAGUGGCGGACGUGUGAGUAAUGUCUGGGAAACUGCCUGAUGGAGGGGGAUAACUACUGGAAACGGUAGCUAAUACCGCAUAACGUCGCAAGACCAAAGAGGGGGACCUUCGGACCUCUUGCCAUCGGAUGUGCCCAGAUGGGAUUAGCUAGUAGGUGGGGUAACGGCUCACCUAGGCGACGAUCCCUAGCUGGUCUGAGAGGAUGACCAGCCACACUGGAACUGAGACACGGUCCAGACUCCUACGGGAGGCAGCAGUGGGGAAUAUUGCACAAUGGGCGAAAGCCUGAUGCAGCCAUGCCGCGUGUAUGAAGAAGGCCUUCGGGUUGUAAAGUACUUUCAGCGGGGAGGAAGGGAGUAAAGUUAAUACCUUUGCUCAUUGACGUUACCCGCAGAAGAAGCCCCGGCUAACUACGUG
rnacentral:rRNA from 1 species